rnacentral:misc_RNA from 1 species
GUGAAUCAUCGAAUCUUUGAACGCAAAUUGCACUCUCCGCGGUGAGGAUGCCUGUUUUAGGUUCAGCCUAUAAAAAAUCGACAUCGUUGCUGUUUCGCAAUGGCUGUCGUCGGAAAUUGGGUCAUCUUAUAUCCUUUGUUUUUAAGCGACUUAAAAUUUUCUUUUUGUUUCCAUGAUUUAUUCUAAGAUUUAUUUCUUUACACGUUUAUUUUAUCGAUUUUUAUUAUACGUGACCAUCAACUCUGAUC